UCGCCCAUACCGUCCUCGUCUCUAUCCCGAGCCGCCCACUGCUCUCUCCCACACGCGCCCCUCUUCUUCCUCCCUUCGCUCUUCUUCUUCCUCCUCUACUCAGAGCUCGAACAGAGCCAUGGAUGGCCUCCUAGCCUCCGGCCGAUUCGACGUCUCCACGACCUCCCAGUCCAAACCCUCGCACCCAAGCCUCUCCCACCACCUCCUCCAGCUUCCCCAAACCCCAGCCGAACUCCUUCUCGGCCCAAUCGACGGGAAUCGAAGCUCCAGACCACCAUGAACAAACAGUAGUUCCGCCCCUCACCGUCGAAGUCCUACCUCCGGUCCUUCUCCAUCCAACCUAGGUAUAGAAAUCAACUCCCCUCGACUCACUGAUGCUUGUGCUCUCCUCGUUCUUACACGUUCCCAUUGUUUCCGCGCUCGUUCCCGAGCCAUGCCGCCGCCGGCAUGUUGCUACUCGCCGCAAGCCACGCGCACGCGCCUCUGUGCCGCGCCGUCGAGCGCCCCCACUCCACCCAGCCUUGCUGAAUCCUCCCAUGGCCGCCCCGUCGCCAGCCACUCACCGGAGUGCCGCCACACACCAUCGCCGACCGCCACCGUGCACUGCUUCCGUGGACAGCACGCCUCCGGCCGCCCUCUGCCACGCUAAGACCACCCCAAGGUACGAUAGAUGAACCACGUGAAGGACGUGAUAUUGGAACCGAACACGAAGACGAUGUUUGGUGGACAUAUCCAGAAGAGGCAAAGAACCAGGAGUAGAUGCUUGGACCGGAAUACUCACCAAGCGAGUGUCAUCUAACAAACACUGGCCUAGUGUUAAUCCCAGGCAAGGUAUAGACGCUAAUCAGGAUUAACAUCGGUGGGCUCGAUGUGACGUCAUCACGUCUCCGUAGUUAUCGUUUUACUGCAUUUUAUUUCAGUUGGUUUCUAAUGAAAAUCUUCCUCAGGUUAGACUCUCUCUACCGCUGCUAUUAUCUAUUAUGUGAACUUUAAUUUGUAAAAGUCAUUUUGUAAAUAUCUUAAUAUUGUUUACUAUUUUGUAAAAUUGUAUCAUGCUGGUACCGUC